rnacentral:rRNA from 1 species
AGUCGAGAGGGUUCGGCCCUCGGCUGACGGCUCAGUAACACGUGGAUAAUCUGCCCUAAGGUGGAGGAUAACCUCGGGAAACUGAGAAUAACACUCCAUAAGUCUAGAGGCUGGAAUGCACUUAGCUGAAAACUUCGGUGCCUUAGGAUGAGUCUGCGGACUAUCAGGUUGUAGUCAGGGGUAAAGACCUGACUAGCCUACGACGGAUACGGGUUGUGAGAGCAAUAACCCGGAGAUGAUAUCUGAGACACGAUAUCAGGCCCUACGGGGCGCAGCAGGCGCGAAAACUUCGCACUGCGCGAAAGCGCGACGAGGGAAUCCCAAGUGUAUGCACGUAAGUGUAUACUGUUUCUCUGUCUAAAAAGCAGAGAGAGUAAGAGCUGGGUAAGACGGGUGCCAGCCGCCGCGGUAAUACCUGCAGCUCGAGUGGUGAUCGUUAUUAUUGGGCCUAAAACGUCCGUAGCCGGUCUUCUAAAUGCCUGGGUAAAUCGUAUGGCUUAACCAUACGAAUUCCGGGUAGACUGUUAGACUUGAGACCGGGAGAAGCUAGAGGUACUCCUGGGGUAAGGUGAAAUUCUGUAAUCCUAGGGGACGACCAGUGGCGAAGCGUCUAGCUAGAACGGGUCUGACGGUGAGGGACGAAGCCCUGGGGCGCAAACGGGAUUAGAUACCCCGGUAGUCCAGGGUGUAAACGCUGCUUGCUUGAUGUUAGUCUGGCUCCGAGCCAAUUAGUGUCGGAAGAAGUUGUUAAGGCAAGCUGCCUGGGGAAGUACGGCCGGCAAGACUGAAACUUUAAAGGGAAUUGGCGGGGGAACACAGGAAACGGGUGGAACGUGCGGUUUAACUUCUGGAUUCAACGGCCGGAAAAGCUCACCGGAAGCCGACGGUUACUGA